rnacentral:lncRNA from 1 species
AACUGCACCUCCAUCAGUGGCGAUCUCCACAUCCUGCCGGUGGCAUUUAGGGGGACUCCUUCACACAUACUCCUCCUCUGGAUCCACAGGAACUGGAUAUUCUGAAAACCGUAAAGGAAAUCACAGGUUUUUGCUGAUUCAGGCUUGGCCUGAAAACAGGACGGACCUCCAUGCCUUUGAGAACCUAGAAAUCAUACGCGGCAGGACCAAGCAACAGACCAGACAACUGUAUCCAGUGUGCCCACUACAUUGACGGCCCCCACUGCGUCAAGACCUGCCCGGCAGGAGUCAUGGGAGAAAACAACACCCUGGUCUGGAAGUACGCAGACGCCGGCCAUGUGUGCCACCUGUGCCAUCCAAACUGCACCUACGGUGCACUGGGCCAGGUCUUGAAGGCUGUCCAACGAAU